rnacentral:lncRNA from 12 species
GCCACACUAAUGUGCCAAAGGGAAUAUGGCAAAGACAAGGAAGGGACCAGCAGUGUGUGCAGGAUGAUCAGUGUCAGGGGAAAGGCCAAUGUCUGUUCAUCAUUUGGAUUAGCAUUACACCCUGAGAUCAUGAGGAGUGGUGGACAAUAAAG